GUUCCUCAUCAAGGGAAGUGUGGCUGGGGGCGCCGUCUACCUGGUGUACGACCAGGAGCUGCUGGGGCCCAGCGACAAGAGCCAGGCAGCCCUACAGAAGGCUGGGGAGGUGGUCCCCCCAGCCAUGUACCAGUUCAGCCAGUACGUGUGUCAGCAGACAGGCCUGCAGAUACCCCAGCUCCCAGCCCCUCCAAAGAUUUACUUUCCCAUCCGUGACUCCUGGAAUGCAGCCUGGUAUGGUGGCGCACUUGUAGUCCCAGCUACUUGGGAGGCUGAGGCAAGAGAAUCGCUUGAACCCAGGAGGCGAAGGUUGCAGUGAGCCGAGAUUGCACUACUGCACUCCAGCCUGGGAGACAGAGCAUCAUGACGGUGAUGUCAGCUCUGUCGGUGGCCCCCUCCAAGGCCCGCGAGUACUCCAAGGAGGGCUGGGAGUAUGUGAAGGCGCGCACCAAGUAGCGAGUCAGCAGGGGCCGCCUGCCCCGGCCAGAACGGGCAGGGCUGCCACUGACCUGAAGACUCCGGACUGGGACCCCACUCUGAGGGCAGCUCCCGGCCUUGCCGGCACAAUAAAGGACUUCAGAAGUGU
rnacentral:sRNA from 1 species